AAGCUUGCUUUUUUGAGACCGGCGCACGGGUGAGUAACGCGUAUGCAACCUACCUUAUACAGGGGAAUAGCCCGAAGAAAUUCGGAUUAAUGCUCCAUGGUUUAUCGAUAUGGCAUCGUAUUGAUAAUAAAGAUUUAUCGGUGUAAGAUGGGCAUGCGUAUCAUUAGCUAGUUGGUGUGGUAACGGCAUACCAAGGCAACGAUGAUUAGGGGUCCUGAGAGGGAGAUCCCCCACACUGGUACUGAGACACGGGACCAGACUCAUACGGGAGGCAGCAGUGAGGAAUAUUGGUCAAUGGAGGCAACUCUGAACCAGCCAUGCCGCGUGCAGGAUGACGGUCCUAUGGAUUGUAAACUGCUUUUGUACAGGAAGAAACCUCUCUACGAGUAGAGACUUGACGGUACUGUAAGAAUAAGGAUCGGCUAACUCCGUGCCAGCAGCCGCGGUAAUACGGAGGAUCCGAGCGUUAUCCGGAAUUAUUGGGUUUAAAGGGUUCGUAGGCGGCUUUGUAAGUCAGUGGUGAAAUUUCCUAGCUUAACUAGGACACUGCCAUUGAUACUGCAGAGCUUGAAUAAUAUG
rnacentral:rRNA from 1 species